UACGUAGGGGCUAGCGUUGUCCGGAAUCAUUGGGCGUAAAGCGCGCGUAGGCGGCUACUUAAGUCGGAUGUGAAAGCCCUUGGCUCAACUGAGGAAGUGCACCCGAAACUGAGUGGCUAGAGUACGAAAGAGGGUCGCGGAAUUCCCGGUGUAGAGGUGAAAUUCGUAGAUAUCGGGAGGAACACCGGUGGCGAAGGCGGCGACCUGGGUCGAUACUGACGCUGAUGCGCGAAAGCGUGGGGAGCAAACAGGG
rnacentral:rRNA from 1 species